rnacentral:rRNA from 1 species
AUUGAACGCUGGCGGCAGGCCUAACACAUGCAAGUCGAACGAGUGGCGGACGGGGGAGUAAUGUCUGGGAAACUGCCCGAUGGAGGGGGAUAACUACUGGAAACGGAAGCUAAUACCGCAUAACUGCGGAUGUGCCCAGAUUGGAUUCGCUAGUAGGUGGGGUAACGGCUAACCUAGGCGACGAUCCCUAGCUGGUCUGAGAGGAUGACCAACGACACUGGAACUGAGGCACGGUCCAGACUCCUACGGGAGGCAGCAGUGGGUAAUAUUGCACAAUGGGCGCAAGCCUGAGGCAGCAAUGCCGGGUGUAUGAAGAAGGCUUUCGGUUGGUAAAGUACUGUCAUCGAGGAGGCGUUACUCGCAGAAGAAGCCCCGGCUAACUCCGUGCCAGCAGCCGCGGUAAUAC